GCCUCAGGCAACUCCCAGGGCAGCCUUGCAAUGAAGGUCCCCAGGGGCCCAGGAAACCGUCUGAAAGAGGAACAUUUUGCGCAGCAGCGUCCACAGACACCUGGGGCAACUAAUUCUGCCUAGACCAAUGAAGCCAGUCUCUUUCUAGAAAACUCAGAAAUCUGCCAAAAAUAAGAGAAGCAUUCCCAGGAACCUUUGGACUCUGAUGGAAGCGUUCCUGGAGCACCAUCACUGCCGGUAACGGACCAGGAAGGAGGAAAAGGCCAGGAGGCCAAGGAGACCCCAACAGAUGGACUUGAGCCAGUGU